rnacentral:snoRNA from 1 species
CAAUGUGGAUGAGGAGGAUUUGAAAUUAAUCAGUUAUCCCUGUCUGAAUAAGUAGUGCUGAUAUUUCUAAAGUCUGACACACUA